CAGGCCUAACACAUGCAAGUCGAACGGCAGCGCGAGGAGCUUGCUCCUUGGCGGCGAGUGGCGGACGGGUGAGUAACACGUGGGAAUCUGCCUGGUAGUGGGGGACAACCCGAGGAAACUCGGGCUAAUACCGCAUACGCCCUACGGGGGAAAGCGGGGGACCUUCGGGCCUCGCGCUAUCAGAUGAGCCCGCGGCCGAUUAGCUUGUUGGUGAGGUAAUGGCUCACCAAGGCGACGAUCGGUAGCUGGUCUGAGAGGACGAUCAGCCACACUGGGACUGAGACACGGCCCAGACUCCUACGGGAGGCAGCAGUGGGGAAUAUUGGACAAUGGGCGAAAGCCUGAUCCAGCAAUGCCGCGUGUGUGAAGAAGGCCCUAGGGUUGUAAAGCACUUUCAAUGGGGAAGAAAAGCAGGGUGCCAAUACCACCCUGUCAUGACGUUACCCAUAGAAGAAGCACCGGCUAACUCCGUGCCAGCAGCCGCGGUAAUACGGAGGGUGCGAGCGUUAAUCGGAAUUACUGGGCGUAAAGGGCGCGUAGGCGGCUCGAUAAGUUGGAUGUGAAAGCCCCGGGCUCAACCUGGGAAUUGCGUUCAAUACUGUCGGGCUAGAGUGUGGUAGAGGGAAGUG
rnacentral:rRNA from 1 species